rfam:Hordeum vulgare subsp. vulgare, WGS project CAJW01000000 data, contig: morex_contig_1453921
GACUCUCGGCAACGGAUAUCUCGGCUCUCGCAUCGAUGAAGAACGUAGCGAAAUGCGAUACCUGGUGUGAAUUGAUUGCAGAAUCCAGAAUCCCGCGCCGCGAACCGAACCAUCGACCAUCGAG